UUUUUGGACGUGUCAUUGGAUCUCGGACUGAAAGAUGGCGGACCCAGUUGUUGUGGUAAAUGGACCUUCCGACAUAGGGAUGGGUAUGGUCAUAGUCAAUGGCCAUUCUGAAGAUGUAGGGACGGAAGUGAGAGUUGUUGACAACCCCCCAGAGGACACUGGCGUGAAGGUGGUCAACGGUGAUGCAUUGCAGCCCCCAGGCAAAGGGCCGGCCGCGCUCCUCCGCGGCACGUCGGUGCAGGGUGCAAUGGAGCAUGCAUUGCAGCACCGCGAGCGGGUGGGGGUGCAGGACUUCGUGCUGCUGGAGGACUACCGGUCAGAGGCCGCCUUCAUAGACAACCUGAGGAAGCGGUUCAGCGAGAACAUUAUCUAUACGUACAUCGGCAACGUGCUGAUCUCGGUGAACCCUUACAAGAACCUGCCCAUCUACACCGAGGAGAAGACCAAGCUGUAUUACAAGAAGAACUUCUUCGAGGCGCCCCCACAUGUAUUCGCAAUCGCCGACAACGCUUACCGGUCACUGGUAUAUGAACACAGGGAACAAUGUAUUUUGAUCUCAGGCGAAUCCGGCUCAGGAAAGACGGAGGCGUCGAAGAAGGUUCUAGAAUACAUCGCGGCGAGGACCAACCACCUCCGCAACGUGGAGACUGUCAAGGACAAACUCCUCCAGAGCAACCCCCUGCUCGAAGCCUUCGGCAACGCAAAGACCAACAAAAACGACAACUCCAGCCGAUUUGGCAAAUACAUGGACAUACAGUUCAAUUAUGAAGGAGCUCCGGAAGGCGGGCACAUCUUAAACUACCUUCUAGAAAAGUCCAGAAUAGUCAGCCAGAUGUCCGGAGAGAGGAACUUCCAUAUCUUCUAUCAGCUGCUGGCUGGCGGAGACCAGGAAUUGAUGAAGCUGCUGAAACUGCAGGCGAGGCCUGAGGCCUAUAAAUAUACUACGGAUUUGAAUACACAAACUGGCCAGCGCACCAACGACGCAGAUCAGUUCCGCGUGGUCCGGGAAGCGAUGAAGGUCAUCGAGAUCAGCGCACCGGAACAGCAGGAGAUCUUCGAGAUCGUCGCCAGCAUCCUCCACCUGGGCAACGUGAAGUUCGUGCAGAACGACAAGGGAUCCGCUGAGAUCCUGACCCAUGAUGCCAAUAGUGAAAAUGUUGCUGAGCUCCUGAAAGUCAACCCAACGAAACUCCGCGAGGCGUUAACAAGUCGAACCAUCGACGCUCGCGGCGACGUUGUCAACACACCCCUAGACCUGGAACAAGCCCAAUACGCCCGGGACGCCCUGGCCAAGUCCAUGUACGACAAGCACUUCAGCUGGCUGGUGAAGAGGCUCAACUCAUCACUAGCACCAAAGGACAAGGAUCCGAGAGCAUCCGUCAUUGGUAUCCUGGAUAUCUACGGGUUCGAGAUCUUCCCUAAGAAUAGUUUCGAGCAGUUCUGCAUCAACUUCUGCAAUGAGAAGCUGCAGCAGCUGUUCAUCCAGCUGACGCUCAAGUCGGAGCAGGAGGAGUACCUGCGCGAGGGCAUCGAGUGGGAGCCCGUCGAGUACUUCAACAACAUCGUCAUCUGCGACCUCAUUGAGGCUAGGCAUAAAGGUAUAAUCUCGAUCUUGGACGACGAGUGUCUCCGCCCUGGUGACGCCAGCGACCUCAGCUUCCUGGAGAAGCUCAACCAGCACCUGGAUGGCCACCCCCACUACAAGUCACAUCGGAAGGUCGACUCCAGGACACAGAAGAUCAUGGGACGAGACGAGUUCUGCCUAGUCCACUACGCUGGGGAUGUGACGUACAACGUGAACACCUUCCUGGAAAAGAACAACGACCUGCUGUUCAGAGACCUGCAGGGUCUCAUGGCUGGCAGCGGCAACUCUAUCGUCGCCCGAUGCUUCAAGGACAUGGACCUUCUGAGCAAGAAACGCCCGGAGACAGCCAUCACCCAGUUCAAGAACUCCCUGAACGAGCUCAUCAAGAUCCUCAGCUCCAAGGAACCCUCCUACAUACGCUGCAUCAAACCCAACGACUUCAAGAUGCCCAUGCAAUUCGACGACAAGCUGGUGUCUCACCAGGUAAAAUAUCUCGGUUUGAUGGAGAACCUGCGCGUGCGACGCGCCGGCUUCGCUUACAGGAGGACCUACGAUGCCUUCCUUGACAGAUACAAGUGUUUGAGCUCGGAGACGUGGCCAAACUUCCGCGGGCCGGCGAGAGAUGGCGUUCAGAAACUGGUGGAGACCAUGCAGUAUGAGAAGGAAGAAUACAGGAUGGGCAACACGAAGAUCUUCAUCCGCUUCCCGAAAACCCUGUUCGACACGGAAGACGCGUACCAGCUGAAGAAAAACGACAUUGCGACCAUCAUACAGUCGCGCUGGCGCGGCUACUGGCAACGCAAGCAGUAUCUACGCAUGCGCGCCGCCGCCAUCGUCAUACAGAAGUGGGUGCGCCGGUUCCUUGCGCAGAAGCUUAGGGAAAGAAGGAAGAAGGCCGCUGACGUCAUCCGGGCGUUUAUAAAAGGCUUCAUCACGCGUAACGGUCCGGAGACGCCAGAAAACAGGCGGUUCCUGGGCAUAGCGAAGGUGCACUGGCUGAAGCGGUUGUCCACACAACUGCCCAAGAAGCUGCUCGACUUGUCCUGGCCGCCGUGUCCCGCCACUUGCCAGGAAGCGUCGAAGGAGCUGCACAGACUGCACCGCGCCCACCUCGCAAGGAAGUACCGCCUCGCGCUGUCUCCCGCAGACAAGAAACAGUUCGAGCUCAAAAUACUGGCUGAGACGAUGUUCAAGACCAAGAAGAACAGUUACCCGUCCAGCGUGGGCGACCGCUUCAUGGAAGACAGGCUGACUGCCGAGCACCAGGUGCUGAGAAACACCUUCAUGGCGUCGCCGGCUUGGCCUUCUGGCGAACAGCUUAUUUAUUCCUGCGAAGCAGUGAAGUACGACCGUCGCGGAUACAAGCCACGCGCGCGCAGUUUGCUGGCCUCAGACAAGGCACUGUACGUCCUCGACGCUGCUGGACGCAAGACAUACAAGCUGAAACAUCGCCUGCCCUUCGACAAACUCAGGGUCGUCGUCACCAACGAGUCCGAUAGCUUGAUCCUCAUCAAGAUUCCACAGGAGCUGAAGAAGGAUAAGGGUGAUCUGAUCAUCUCGGUGUCACACCUGAUCGAAGCGCUGUCUAUCGUCACUGACUACACCAAGAAACCCGAAAUCGUCGAAAUUGUAGACACCAGGACGAUCGCCCACAACCUGGUGAACGGCAAGCAGGGUGGCACCAUCGAGGUAACCAACGGCCCACAGCCGACCAUCCACCGUGCCAAGAGUGGCAACCUGCUUGUGGUCGCAACACCAUGAAAGAAUUGAUCAGUAUUUUGAACAAAGUUAGGUAUUUAAACGUAACAACGACUUUUAUACUUCAUCGAAGCUAGUUCAAUAUUUCCAUUAUAUAAUUUAUUUGUUAAUUUAUAAUUGUAUUUAAAAAAUAUGUCGUUAUAUAAACUUCGUAAAUGUACGAUAGAUUCUACCAUAUUUUUGUUAACUUUGCAUUUUCCGGGAACUUGGAAAUUCCACAGCCAUACCCUUAAAAACAACAACAAAGAUAAAGAAUAGUGGCAAGAUUUAAAAAAAAUCGGGUUUUUUUUAAAUUAUAUUAUGAUGUACUUUUCUAUUCGAAAUGUUGUUAUUUAUAUGAAUUUGUAUGGAUUAACCGUUUCUUUAUAUUCAUCGAAGUAAUUUAAGUGUGAUAAUGAUACCUAAUAUAACUGUUACGUACAAAGUACUUAUUAUAGAUUUUUGUAUGCCAUAAAAUUGAAAGGUUUAAGUAUUGAAAUGUGUCAAGCAUAACAUAACACUGUGUAAACAUUAAUGUAAUGUACUUAAUGUAAUAUAAUUAGGUACGUACCUAAAUACAAAAAAAAGGUUAUAACUUGUUGGUACUACUCUUCUAUAACCAGACCACCGGACGCCAGGGUUGAUGAGGUUGAUCAGCGACCUAAAAAGCCAAAAGGAAAUCUGAGUGUUUUAACACUAGAGCGGUUCCAUAUCGCCACAGAUAUUCAAUCAAUCAAUUAUUAAAAUUUAUUACACUACUCUAUUAUUUUUAUUUUAUUUUAUUGAUAUUAUUUUUCAUAUUCUUGACACAUUUCACUCCAUUCAUGUAAUUUGUAAGCUGAAUCGAAGGUGCCUAAUGAAUGAUAAGAAAAAAAACAGUUAGUUGUAGCUCGUGUAACUAAAAAUGGAUACGUCAAAUACGAUAAUAAAUAAUUAUUAUUCGAUAUUUAGAGUACGCGCAACGAAACAAGUCCCGCGGAUUUGAAUGGAACUAUUUGACAAGUCAUACAAAGUAACCUAGAUAAAUUAUGAAAUUCUGUCUAAAUAAAAACAGAUCUAAAACUGACGAAAACAUUUUCUUUUGUCUAUUUUUAACUUGAAUCAAGAAAAAUGUAAUAAUAAGUUCGACAUUUUAUCAUGUUUUUAUCAUGUGUUGUUUUUUUAUACAAAUUCCGUAGUAAUUUCGUAAUUUGACGUUUAGUAAAAAGUUACUGAUUUGACUACGCCGCGGCCGAGGGACUUGUUUUGUGGCGCGAACUCUAGAUUUGAUUCGAACCGAGCGCAACGUAGAGUACUAUUUUUGAAUAUUCUAAUUAUUAUUAAUAUUAUAAUUAUUUUUCUAAAGACCCGUUUUCCCGCCAAGUAGUAAUAUGUGUUAUUUAACACAUAAACAACCUAUAAAUUGCCAAAACCUAAGAAAAGAAACAGCCUUUAAAUGUAGUCCUCCCGUUAAUUCAAUCAAACAGAAUCCUUCUACAUGGUGCAAGCACGGUGCAGCUUAAAAUCAAUGUAACUGUUGCCUCAUGACAAUUGCGAAAAAAAAAACAUUAUAGAAUCCUAAAUUCCGCACAUUCUAAAAUUAAAAAUGUAUUUUUUGCUUUUCCACACUAAAUACGCAAAUAUUAUCUACGCUUCGCUCGGUUUGAAUAUUAAAGGUUACAAUCGAAUGAAGUGGGUAUAUUUUCAUACUAGUUCUUGGGAGAUAGCAGUUACAAAAUACCUUUAAUAAAAAUAGUACAGGCUUAAGUUAAUAUUUUUUUAUUUAACUUCCUAUUCCAUCUUUACAUACUUACAUCACAUUUUUGAAUUGAGUUAUGCCAAUUCUAAUGAAACGUGGAUAAAAUAUCGAUUUAAUUUGACAGUUCGGAAAAUAGCCCCGUCCUUCACUUAUGAUGAGUUGAAAACAGAGAUAGAACGAGAUUUAAAACUGUCAAACUGAAUAGGUACCUUAGUUAAAUUGAAUUAAGUUUAUAUCUGCUUGAGGCACCUUACCUUAGUAGGUCUAAUCCUUUUAUAUUCAAUGUUUUCAUAGGCUUAUUUACGAUUAAAUUAAAUGGUAGAGAAUGCGCCACGAAAGAAAUCCCGCUGAUUUUAAUGUAACUAAUUGACAUGCUAUGAGUAGUUCUUCGAACUCCGGGCGGCAAUAUCAUGACCAUUUACGCAAAAAAUAUCCUAAAAUCUUUGGUCUUUUUGCAAAUAUCCAGUUGGAACUUACAUAAGAUGGUGACAUACAGAAGUUUUAACUGGAUAUUUGCAAAAAGACAAAAGAUUUUUGGAUAUUUUUGCGUUAACGGUAAUGAUAGUGACUGCAGGUAUUCGAAGAACUACGCAAUAAUUCUAUGCACAUAGUGCAACACUAGCGCCGCAGCCACGGGAUUUUAUUCGUGGCGCGGACUAUGUUUCCUUUGUAAUACAAACUGCUGUCUUCUUCGAAUUUAAGAUAGUUCGGCCAUACUUUAGAUACAGGCUUAACGUGCCUUACAAUGUAAGCCAGUUCCUUUAAAAGUCAUUUUAUUAAAUAAACUUAUUUUGAUAUA
rnacentral:misc_RNA from 1 species